rnacentral:piRNA from 1 species
GUUUGAAUGCUUGUUCCCUAGCUGGUGA